rnacentral:rRNA from 1 species
CCUACGGGUGGCAGCAGUGGGGAAUAUUGGACAAUGGGGGGAACCCUGAUCCAGCCAUGCCGCGUGUGUGAAGAAGGCCCUCGGGUUGUAAAGCACUUUCAGUGAGGAAGAACGCCUGGUGGUUAAUACCCAUCAGGAAAGACAUCACUCACAGAAGAAGCACCGGCUAACUCCGUGCCAGCAGCCACGGUAAUACGGAGGGUGCGAGCGUUAAUCGGAAUUACUGGGCGUAAAGCGCGCGUAGGUGGCUUGAUAAGCCGGUUGUGAAAGCCCCGGGCUCAACCUGGGAACGGCAUCCGGAACUGUCAAGCUAGAGUGCAGGAGAGGAAGGUAGAAUUCCCGGUGUAGCGGUGAAAUGCGUAGAGAUCGGGAGGAAUACCAGUGGCGAAGGCGGCCUUCUGGACUGACACUGACACUGAGGUGCGAAAGCGUGGGUAGCAAACAGGAUUAGAUACCCGAGUAGUC